rnacentral:misc_RNA from 1 species
UCUGUCUCUCUCUCUCUCUCUCCUUUGGGUUGGGGUGAGAUGAAGUGGGGAGCAGAGCAAAAUCAGAAUGAAGCAGAAAAAAUUAUUGUUCUAGAAUGGCUGUUCCUCUUUAAUUCUCAUUGAACUAUGACUGCUUGUAACAUAAUUACAUUAAAAAAAUAGUUUUUUCUCCUUUAAGGAACCUACAAAUUCACAGAUAUUGGCACAAGGGAAACAGUACAGAUAGGUCUUACCUGAGCCUAGUCCCUAAACCUUACUCCUAGUUCUUGGGUCAAAAUGAAGAACUGGAAUUUUAGCAAUCUUCGUAACAGUUUAUACAAGUAAGAUCAAUAUGUUUGAAACUAAAUCUGGCGAUGAACCACCUAGACAGUGCCACUGCAUUUUACAGACCAGUAUAUCCGAAACGAAAGCGCUAAGCAAUUAAAUUAAAUUAAUCAACGAAACAACAUAGAGGUUCUGUUAGAAAUAAAAUUUUAUGUUCAAAUCAGAUAUGAAAGACAAACACAUGCAACAUUCUCAAGGAAAUUUUCUCAUUAUAAUCAUUAAUUGGGAUAAUUCAGUGGCAAUGGCUGUUGACACAGUAACACAAAACAGUCAACAG